UAGUUAUAGUAAUACAAGCCAAUAUUAAACAUAGUUGUUCUACGCAAACCAAAUGUACAGGGAAAAAACGUGAAUAUCCUAUUCAUUUAGAAACAAGGAAAAGAAAUAAAGAAGUAAAGAGGAUAUGAUUUGGUACCCAUAAAUUGCUGAGCGCGACCAAUAAAAUAGUGGAUCCCAAUAAGUAUAUUGUGCUGCUCUGUUCCUGACGCCAAGCUAACUGAGCUCAUUAUAUGCCACAGUCUCACCAGUUCAUAACACAUCUUCCAUGGGACUAACAGCGCAAUAGGACAAUCUUUAAAAUCUUCAAGUAAAAAGCAACUUAGCAACUGUCAUUAACUAGGUUAUUGUCCACAGCUCUAUCAAAUAACAUCACCAUUCCAACCUGUUGUAGGGAUAAUUUUGUAAGAAGUUUUGAACAUUCAGCAGAUGGAAGUUCAAAUCGUGAGAGGGAUGCUUAUCCAAAAAAAUGCAUGGGAAAUAUUAUGUUCAUAACAAAUAAAAGCUUGCCAAGAAAUUCUAGUUCUUUUUUUGAAUGCUUGGGAUGCUUACCAACACAGUCAGGGCAGUUAACCCAAACAACACGGAGACCAAUCAAAGUGAAUGUGUCAUCAAGACCUAGUUACUUGUUGCAGCAUUUGA
rnacentral:lncRNA from 1 species